rnacentral:rRNA from 1 species
GAGAUUCCCCCAGUAGCGGCGAGCGAACGGGGAGGAGCCCAGAGCCUGAAUCAGUGUGUGUGUUAGUGGAAGCGUCUGGAAAGGCGCGCGAUACAGGGUGACAGCCCCGUACACAAAAAUGCACAUACUGUGAGCUCGAUGAGUAGGGCGGGACACGUGGUAUCCUGUCUGAAUAUGGGGGGACCAUCCUCCAAGGCUAAAUACUCCUGACUGACCGAUAGUGAACCAGUACCGUGAGGGAAAGGCGAAAAGAAC